UCAUCAGCAUAACAAAAAGAAAAGAAAAAAAUCUCGUCUUGAGAAGUGUACUACAAAGUGCGAUUAAUUCAAGAAAAUACACCAAAUUUACUCCAAAAUCAAUUGCUUUCUAGGGAUAAACCAAUUUCCUUUUCUUUUGGUUUGUUUGUGGAUGAAGUGUGGUGUUAGUGGAGAACAAAGUGCGUAUUUGAACACCCAUCAGCUGUGAGGGGAAAACAAAUCGAUUGAUCGAUUGUGAUUGAGUUGAAGGACGGCAACGUCCGUCGCAAUGGGAGACGACAAUGGAGACAAAAUUGGCCUCAAAUUGGCCGAGAUAUCGAUCCACAAGUUCAACCAAACCAUUCCGCAGUAUCUGAACCUGCUGAAGAAUCACAAGUGUAACAUCGAGAAGGCCAGCUCGCUCAAGGACUGGGACCGGAUCAAGCGGGAGCAGAUCAACGCUACGAGGGUCAUCAAGCAGAUGAAAUAUCUGAUCCUGGAGAUCGACAAGGUGCGAUCCCGAGUGCGGCAGGGCGAUUUGAAGCGGUUCGAUGAGGCGAUCGACGGAGCGAAGAAGCAGGCGUUCGCGGCGAUGGGCGAGUAUUUGGAAGCGCAACAGAAAAUUGUCUCUCGGACUCAGUCGACGUACAGCUUUACGGAUGAGGAAUACUACACGAGACAGGAUCAGCAGGACAACCAGUACGGGCGUCAGUUGGCACACGUUCCGGAGAUAACCAGCACAUACAACCGCGAAGUGGAAGAACUGCGGCAGCGGGAGGAAUGUCUCAAAGAGAUGGAAAUCCUCCAGCAGGAAAUUGUCGACAUUCAGGAUCUUUUUCAGACGGUGCAUUCGAUGACGCGAGACCAAGCCCAGAUGGUCGAUGCGGUCGAGGAAAAUGUGGAAGUGACCCAAGGCCACGUGGAGGAAGGCGAGACGGCCCUGAGAAAAGCGUUAAAAUACAAGAAAGCCAUCUAUCCGAUGUGUGGUGCGUUGCUGGGAUCAUGCAUAGGUGGUCCCAUUGGGUUGAUAGUGGGACUGAAAGCCGGAGGAUUGGCGGCCCUCGGGGGAGGCCUGGUCGGAUUCGCCGGAGGAAAGUACAUCAAAGAGGACGGCGUUGAGGCUGUGGAUGCAAUAGACGGUGGAGACAAAGCGCUGGAAGUGGAAGCCAAUGGGGCGGCGUUGAACGCCGACAUGGAACAGGCCAUUUGCGUGCGGAAGGAAUGACAUUUUGCGCGGUUUUGCUCCAUCCAGUAGAUUGUUUUCUCUCGAAGCUGGGCAGAUUGUGGAAUUCCAGUGACAAGAUUUCAUCGUUCUUAGUUUGUUGACCAUCUCGAAUCGAAGAGGCGUUAGAUUUUGUUAGCAUUGAAUCAAAAAACACUGGACUACAAACUUGAAUGCUGCUGACGGUCCUUCCGUGUGAAACUAAUUUAGAAUAUUCCUAAACUAGCAAACAAUAAUCGGAGAGAAGUUUAAUGCUGCGAUAAAUAGCAAAAAGAUAUAAAUGUUUCAAUCGUAAGGACAAGGAUAUUGAUAUUGACUAGUUAUUUCAUUUUUGAAACAUUGUUUAUUUAUAUAAGUGUUUCCUCCAGUUUACAGAAAAAAAGUAGCGCGUAAGAAUAAACUUAAACCAAAUAAUUAGCCAAGAAAAUUAAA